rnacentral:misc_RNA from 1 species
CCGCUCGUUAGCAAGAAGCUUGAUCUUGGACGCCAUUUCCGCCUACUAUGAGUCUUCUAUGCCCUGAGAACUAAGUCGACUUCACGUGUGAUAAUCUUUCUGCUAUUUAAUUUUUAUUUUCUUAAUUUUACAAAAUAUAUCUAGCAGCCAGCUAGGCGAGAUUCUACGUUUCCCCACGAAAGUUUCUAGACAACCAGCAAAAUAGUGGGGAUGAAGCGUUUCUCAGACGGCAAUAUGGGUGGGCCGUAUAAACGCUCACGAAUGGGUCCUGACGACAUUGAAGUUCGCCUCCUCAUACCCAGCAAGGUUGCUGGUUCAAUCAUUGGCAAAGGUGGAAAGAAUAUAUCUAGGCUCCGUUCAGAUUACAAAGCCUCUGUUACUGUCCCAGAUUGCCCUGGCCCUGAACGCAUUCUGACGGUGUGCUCUCCUGAGGUGGAGACCAUUAUAAAAGUAAUAAAUGAAGUUGUGCCCAACCUUGAGGAUACCAGUGGACGCAGCAAGACAGGUGAUGAUGUGGACAUCAGAAUGCUAGUACAUCAGAGCCAAGCUGGUUGCAUCAUUGGCAAAGGAGGUCUCAAGGUCAAAGAGCUCAGGGAGAAAACAGGAGCUCGUAUCAAGAUAUACACAAAUUGCUGUCCCGACAGUACUGACCGUGUGGUCCAAAUAACUGGCCGUGGCAAUACCUGCACAGACUGUAUUCAGGAGAUGGUGGAACUUCUCAAGACUGUCCCAGUCAAGGGUGUAGACAAUCAGUACGACCCGAUCAACUUUGACGACUUGUAUGCUGAAGAGUAUGGUGGCUACGGUCAGGGUAGCGGCGGUGGUGGUGGCGGUCGUGGCAUGAUGGGUGGUCGAGACAUGGGUGGCCCUCCUAUAGGCGGCCGAGACAUGGGUGGACGAGACAUGGGUGGAAGAGACAUGGGUCGUGGUGGCAGACCUGCUCCUUUUGGUGGUCCCAACGCUAGAGGUGUUGGCAUGGGUGGUCCUCCUCCUCGUGGUGGUGGUGGUUUUGGCAGUGGAGGCGGUGGCGGAGGCGGUGGUUUUGGAGGUGGAGCUGGCAGGGGCUAUAAUCGGCAAGGCAGGGGCCAGAAUUCGGAAAAUUCGUUUGGAGUCCGGCGCCGGUAUAACAAUUGAGAAACCGCUGCCGGGCGCUACGGAUCGGAUCAUCACCAUCACUGGUCUGCCCAAUCAAAUAAAAAUGGCACAAUAUUUAUUACAGCAAAGUGUACAUGAAAACACCAAUGUAGCAAGAAACCACCGGUACUGAACUCUUAUACUUAUCACCAGUUUGGGAAACAAUAUAUAUUGUUUAAGCAGUACAAAGUUAGUUUAUUUUUAGAUAUUUUAGUAUUUUUAAGCAAUGUAUGUUUGUCAUUAAGUUUAUUACAUUGCAAUUUAUUGUACAAAAUCUGUUACGUUAGUAGUUAUUUGUACACUUUGCUUAAACAUUGUUAACUUUUCCUUGUGUCAGUAACUAUAUACAUUCUAAACAAUUUCCUUAGUUUUAUAGUAAGACAUAAUUAGUGUUGUAUUAUAUUUUAUUAUUUCUUACACAUUAAGGUGAUUAUUAUGUGUGAUCAGUCCAUCUUAACAAAUACAAUCAGUACGAUCACUAAAAUUUUUGCAUUUCAUUGACAGUCUUCCUGGUAAAAUUUGACUUUUCAAUUUUAUAGUUUAAUGUGUGUUUAUGAGGGAAAAUAUGUCAAUAAACAAAAUUAUAUUUAGAA